rnacentral:rRNA from 1 species
UACAGAGGUCCCAAGCGUUGUUCGGAUUCAUUGGGCGUAAAGGGUGCGUAGGUGGCGCGAUAAGUCGGGUGUGAAAUCUCGGAGCUUAACUCCGAAAUUGCAUUCGAUACUGCCGUGCUCGAGGACUGGAGAGGAGACUGGAAUUCAUGGUGUAGCAGUGAAAUGCGUAGAGAUCAUGAGGAAGACCAGUGGCGAAGGCGGGUCUCUGGACAGUUCCUGACACUGAGGCACGAAGGCCAGGGGAGCAAACGGG